rnacentral:rRNA from 1 species
GUGAAAGCAGAGCUUGCUCUGUGGAUCAGUGGCGAACGGGUGAGUACACGUGAGCAAUCUGCCCCUGACUCUGGGAUAAGCGCUGGAAACGGCGUCUAAUACCGGAUACGAGCUGCGAAGGCAUCUUCAGCAGCUGGAAAGAAUUUCGGUCAGGGAUGAGCUCGCGGCCUAUCAGCUUGUUGGUGAGGUAACGGCUCACCAAGGCGUCGACGGGUAGCCGGCCUGAGAGGGUGACCGGCCACACUGGGACUGAGACACGGCCCAGACUCCUACGGGAGGCAGCAGUGGGGAAUAUUGCACAAUGGGCGAAAGCCUGAUGCAGCAACGCCGCGUGAGGGACGACGGCCUUCGGGUUGUAAACCUCUUUUAGCAGGAAAGAAGCGAAAGUGACGGUACCUGCAGAAAAAGCGCCGGCUAACUACGUGCCAGCAGCCGCGGUAAUACGUAGGGCGCAAGCGUUAUCCGGAAUUAUUGGGCGUAAAGAGCUCGUAGGCGGUCUGUCGCGUCUGCUGUGAAAACCCGAGGCUCAACCUCGGGCCUGCAGUGGGUACGGGCAGACUAGAGUGCGGUAGGGGAGAUUGGAAUUCCUGGUGUAGCGGUGGAAUGCGCAGAUAUCAGGAGGAACACCGAUGGCGAAGGCAGAUCUCUGGGCCGUAACUGACGCUGAGGAGCGAAAGGGUGGGGAGCAAACAGGCUUAGAUACCCUGGUAGUCCACCCCGUAAACGUUGGGAACUAGUUGUGGGGUCCAUUCCACGGAUUCCGUGACGCAGCUAACGCAUUAAGUUCCCCGCCUGGGGAGUACGGCCGCAAGGCUAAAACUCAAAGGAAUUGACGGGGACCCGCACAAGCGGCGGAGCAUGCGGAUUAAUUCGAUGCAACGCGAAGAACCUUACCAAGGCUUGACAUAUACGAGAACGGGCCAGAAAUGGUCAACUCUUUGGACACUCGUAAACAGGUGGUGCAUGGUUGUCGUCAGCUCGUGUCCUGAGAUGUUGGGUUAAGUCCCGCAACGAGCGCAACCCUCGUUCUAUGUUGCCAGCACGUAAUGGUGGGAACUCAUGGGAUACUGCCGGGGUCAACUCGGAGGAAGGUGGGGAUGACGUCAAAUCAUCAUGCCCCUUAUGUCUUGG